rnacentral:misc_RNA from 1 species
CUUGAGCUUUCUUUCUUACUUUCUUUGCAGGCUGCGCUUUUCCUCCGGUUUUACCCUUCUUUUGUACCACUCCAGAUGAUUUCUCAGCUUUUCCUUUAGUUCUUCCAUUUGUCUGUUCUUCAUUGCCUUCAUUUUGAUCAGUUUCGUGAGAAAUAGCUUUAGGCAUCUUGUCAGCCUCAUCUUCCGAGUCAAAAGAAAAACCCUCGAGUGUUCCUUCAACCAUAGUUUCAGCUUCAUAGACAUUAGACUGUGCUUUUAGCUGAAUGAAGUCAUUCAUAAUGGCCUCUAUCUUUGCCUCUGAUUGACCAAAGCUAACAACGCAAAAUGUCCGGGAAGGAACUAUUGUUGUUCUGUAUAUCGUUCCUUUUAAAUCCAAGUACAUGUCAUGAUUUCCAGAUGAGGCAUCUGGAAUCACUACUCGUCCAACAGCCCCCACAUCACCGCUCAAAUCUAUGGAAUCCCCUUCACAUUCAACAAGUGCCUUUGAACGAUUGACUUUCUCAGGGAGAAGCAAGGGCAGCCUUGACGUAGAAACAUGAGGAUCAGUACGCUUCACAGAAGUGUCUUCAUCUGCAACCUCUACAGCAUCAGGGUCUCCUUUUAACAGUUUUUUAGGAGACUUUUCCUUCAAGGCCUUCUUCAAUGCUUCACUGCUACUACCAACCAUUGCA